CGUGAGGCCCACCCCCAGCGCUGCCAUUGAGGAGCAUUGACUCAGUGAGUGCAAGAGGUUUGUUUGAAACAGACCGCAAUGGAGAGAUCAGCGCCCAGGGAAGCGAGGGAACAGCAGGCUCCUUCCAGCAGCACAUCGGGAUGGGAGCCUGGGACACAGAGGGGGCUCCGAGACCGGGAUUGAUUCGGGGCAAAUAUUUGAUGGACCAAUCCGAGAGCGACCAGCUGCUUCUCACAAUCAGCAGACAAUUACUUGAAGGACCAAGACACUGUAAUAUGUGCUCAGUACAAAGCCAAGUGUGAUCAGUUCCUUCGAAAAAACAGCAGGCUGCUCAGCCUUACCAAGCCACAAAUGCAGCUGCAGCCCCGGUGCAAGGAGAGUACCCCCAGACUAUGCCGGAAGGACAGGGGUACUAAUAUUGACGGGGCCCGAGAAUCCAGGGGCAUGUGGGGUUGGCAGACCCCUAUAUGCAAAUGAGGAUAAUGGACAAGAAUCUGUCUUUUUUGGUUGACAUGGGUUGAACUGACUGCAGAACAGUUGGAAUGGUAUGAGAUGUCUGAAGAAGCUAUACCUCAUCUCACAUUGACCGUGCAUGCUAACUAUCAGGCCAAGGAUCUGGGACCCAUGUCCAAACGUAU